rnacentral:rRNA from 1 species
AGUGUCUAUUUAUUUUCGAUUGGUAUCUAUGGAUUGAUCACAAGCCGAAACAUGGUUAGAGCUCUAAUAUGUCUUGAACUUAUACUGAAUUCAAUUAAUCUAAAUCUCGUAACAUUUUCUGAUCUAUUUGAUAGUCGCCAAUUAAAAGGAGAUAUUUUCGCAAUUUUUGUUAUAGCCCUUGCGGCUGCUGAAGCCGCUAUUGGACUAUCCAUUCUUUCUUCCAUCCAUCGUAAUAGGAAAUCCACUCGUAUCAAUCAAUCUAAUUUAUUGAAUAAUUAG